GCUGUGGCUCAGCGAUAAAGCAUCCGCCUGGCAUGCAGAAGGUGCCUGGUUCAAUCCCCGAUAUCUUCA
rnacentral:tRNA from 1 species